UGAAGAAGAAGAAGAUGGCGGGGAAAGUUUGAGGGAAUGUAAUCAGUCAUAAAACUCACGUGGGCAAAAAAAACUAUUUAUCCCACCAUCACUGUUUCUCCAUCCAACAACCCACUGUCAGACGGUGGGACACACUGCCAAUGCCUGUAAACUGUUGUCAUUGCAACACGGCGCUUCUACUGUAUCGUGUAAUGUCUGGCAUUAUUAUAUCAACAUAAACAAUCAAUUAGUGCGAGACCAUGUCGUGACGUCAACGACCGAAUUACCCAGGUGUUUCACUGAAGGACCCGAUGACGUUACCCUGCAGCCAGGCCUGCUCGAGAGAGACGAGAGGUGUGUGGAGAAAGAAGGGAGCAUAUGAACCACAUCAUGUCAGGAUGGGGAAUGGAACCUGAGGCCCGUGUGCCGAGGAGUGCAGCCUCUGUACACGGGGCACCUGCUCCACCAGCAGGUCCCCUAUCUCCAUGCUGGGUUUCAGGGGGGUGAAGAGGUUAUCCAAGAACAUCUAUCACUGAUUUCCUGACACUCUUGGUGGCCAAAAAUAAUCAGAUGGCACCUGGAUCAACAGCCCUUGUGUUUCAGGUUCAAAACCUGUCUCCUGGGACUCGUGAAUGGGAGUGCACACGCCAAAAUAUGUGUGGGUGAGUGCAAGAGUGCGCACAGAUUUUUUGUGUGUUUAUAAAUGGCUACUUUGUCUUUUUCUCUGAUACUUAGAUGUGAAUUUAUGCCGUUCACCACACCGCGUCUUUUAGAGCUAGAAGCACAGAGCAGAUGUUCGUGGGAAGUGAUGCUGCUACUGAAAACAGUUUGAAGCACAUUUUUCUUCAUUUUGAGAUAAUUUCAACUUUAAGAACUGCAGAACUCCUAAUGUUGUCUUGAGUCAUGAUUGUUUGUUGUACCUCUUUGGAGGCGCACCAGUAAAAUACAUGAAAAUCUGAAUAACUGUUCCUGAGAUAAAGCUAGUC